rnacentral:rRNA from 1 species
UGCAGUCGACGGUAACAUUUCUAGCUUGCUAGAAGAUGACGAGUGGCGGACGGGUGAGUAAUGCUUGGGAACUUGCCUUUGCGAGGGGGAUAACAGUUGGAAACGACUGCUAAUACCGCAUAAUGUCUUCGGACCAAACGGGGCUUCGGCUCCGGCGCAAAGAGAGGCCCAAGUGAGAUUAGCUAGUUGGUAAGGUAACGGCUUACCAAGGCGACGAUCUCUAGCUGUUCUGAGAGGAAGAUCAGCCACACUGGGACUGAGACACGGCCCAGACUCCUACGGGAGGCAGCAGUGGGGAAUAUUGCACAAUGGGGGAAACCCUGAUGCAGCCAUGCCGCGUGUGUGAAGAAGGCCUUCGGGUUGUAAAGCACUUUCAGUUGUGAGGAAAAGUUAGUAGUUAAUACCUGCUAGCCGUGACGUUAACAACAGAAGAAGCACCGGCUAACUCCGUGCCAGCAGCCGCGGUAAUACGGAGGGUGCGAGCGUUAAUCGGAAUUACUGGGCGUAAAGCGCACGCAGGCGGUUUGUUAAGCUAGAUGUGAAAGCCCCGGGCUCAACCUGGGAUGGUCAUUUAGAACUGGCAGACUAGAGUCUUGGAGAGGGGAGUGGAAUUCCAGGUGUAGCGGUGAAAUGCGUAGAUAUCUGGAGGAACAUCAGUGGCGAAGGCGACUCCCUGGCCAAAGACUGACGCUCAUGUGCGAAAGUGUGGGGUAGCGAACAGGAUUAGAUACCCUGGGUAGUCCACACCGUAAACGCUGUCUACUAGCUGUGUGUGUCUUUAAGGCGUGCGUAGCGAAGCUAACGCGCUAAGUAGACCGCCUGGGGGAGUACGGCCGCAGGGUUAAAACUCAAAUGAAUUGACGGGGGGCCCGCACAAGCGGUGG